rnacentral:rRNA from 1 species
UACAGAGGGUGCGAGCGUUGUCCGGAAUCACUGGGCGUAAAGGGCGCGUAGGUGGCGACCCAAGUCUGUGGUGAAAGCUCGCCGCUUAACGGCGAGUCGGCCACGGAUACUGGGUGGCUCGAGCACUGUAGGGGCAGGUGGAAUUCCGGGUGUAGCGGUGGAAUGCGUAGAGAUCCGGAAGAACACCGGUGGCGAAGGCGGGUCUCUGGGCCGAUACUGACGCUGAGGAGCGAAAGCGUGGGGAGCGAACAGG